AUUGAACGCUGGCGGCAUGCCUUACACAUGCAAGUCGAACGGCAGCACGGGAGCAAUCCUGGUGGCGAGUGGUGAACGGGUGAGUAAUGUAUCGGAACGUACCUUUCAGUGGGGGAUAACGUAGCGAAAGUUACGCUAAUACCGCAUAUUCUGUGAGCAGGAAAGCAGGGGAUCGCAAGACCUUGCGCUGAUUGAGCGGCCGAUAUCAGAUUAGCUAGUUGGUGAGGUAAAGGCUCACCAAGGCGACGAUCUGUAGCGGGUCUGAGAGGAUGAUCCGCCACACUGGAACUGAGACACGGUCCAGACUCCUACGGGAGGCAGCAGUGGGGAAUUUUGGACAAUGGGCGCAAGCCUGAUCCAGCCAUGCCGCGUGAGUGAAGAAGGCCUCGGUUGUAAG
rnacentral:rRNA from 1 species